rnacentral:tRNA from 1 species
GCAGUGGUGGUUCAGUGGUGGAAUUCUCACCUACAUGCAGGAGACCCAGGUUCGAUUCCUGGCCAAUGCA